GUGCCAGCAGCCGCGGUAAUACGGAGGUGGCAAGCGUUACUCGGAUUCACUGGGUGUAAAGGGUAUGUAGGCGAAGCGGUAAGUUCUAGGUGAAAUCCUUCAGCUCUACUGAAGAAUUGCCUAGAAAACUGCCGGAAUUGGGUUCGGGAGAGGGAAGCGGAAUUCCCGGUGUAGCGGUGAAAUGCGUARAUAUCGGGAAGAACACCCGAGGCGAAGGCGGCUUCCUAGACCGAAACCGACGCUGAAAUACGAAAGCUAGGGGAGCGAACAGGAUUAGAUACCCUGGUAGUCC
rnacentral:rRNA from 1 species